rnacentral:rRNA from 1 species
ACAUAGCAUAUCAGAAGGCACACCCGGAGAACUGAAACAUCUUAGUAACCGGAGGAAGAGAAAGAAAAUUCGAUUCCCUUAGUAGCGGCGAGCGAAACGGGAAGAGCCCAAACCAACAAGCUUGCUUGUUGGGGUUGUAGGACACUCUAUACGGAGUUACAAAGGACGACAUUAGACGAAUCAUCUGGAAAGAUGAAUCAAAGAAGGUAAUAAUCCUGUAGUCGAAAAUGUUGUCUCUCUUGAGUGGAUCCUGAGUACGACGGAGCACGUGAAAUUCCGUCGGAAUCUGGGAGGACCAUCUCCUAAGGCUAAAUACUCUCUAGUGACCGAUAGUGAACCAGUACCGUGAGGGAAAGGUGAAAAGCACCCCGGAAGGGGAGUGAAAUAGAACCUGAAACCGUGUGCUUACAAGUAGUCAGAGCCCGUUAAUGGGUGAUGGCGUGCCUUUUGUAGAAUGAACCGGCGAGUUACGAUUUGAUGCAAGGUUAAGCAGUAAAUGUGGAGCCGUAGCGAAAGCGAGUCUGAAUAGGGCGUUUAGUAUUUGGUCGUAGACCCGAAACCAGGUGAUCUACCCUUGGUCAGGUUGAAGUUCAGGUAACACUGAAUGGAGGACCGAACCGACUUACGUUGAAAAGUGAGCGGAUGAACUGAGGGUAGCGGAGAAAUUCCAAUCGAACCUGGAGAUAGCUGGUUCUCUCCGAAAUAGCUUUAGGGCUAGCCUCAAGUGAUGAUUAUUGGAGGUAGAGCACUGUUUGGACGAGGGGCCCCUCUCGGGUUACCGAAUUCAGACAAACUCCGAAUGCCAAUUAAUUUAACUUGGGAGUCAGAACAUGGGUGAUAAGGUCCGUGUUCGAAAGGGAAACAGCCCAGACCACCAGCUAAGGUCCCAAAAUAUAUGUUAAGUGGAAAAGGAUGUGGCGUUGCCCAGACAACUAGGAUGUUGGCUUAGAAGCAGCCAUCAUUUAAAGAGUGCGUAAUAGCUCACUAGUCGAGUGACACUGCGCCGAAAAUGUACCGGGGCUAAACAUAUUACCGAAGCUGUGGAUUGUCCUUUGGACAAUGGUAGGAGAGCGUUCUAAGGGCGUUGAAGCAUGAUCGUAAGGACAUGUGGAGCGCUUAGAAGUGAGAAUGCCGGUGUGAGUAGCGAAAGACGGGUGAGAAUCCCGUCCACCGAUUGACUAAGGUUUCCAGAGGAAGGCUCGUCCGCUCUGGGUUAGUCGGGUCCUAAGCUGAGGCCGACAGGCGUAGGCGAUGGAUAACAGGUUGAUAUUCCUGUACCACCUAUAAUCGUUUUAAUCGAUGGGGGGACGCAGUAGGAUAGGCGAAGCGUGCGAUUGGAUUGCACGUCUAAGCAGUAAGGCUGAGUAUUAGGCAAAUCCGGUACUCGUUAAGGCUGAGCUGUGAUGGGGAGAAGACAUUGUGUCUUCGAGUCGUUGAUUUCACACUGCCGAGAAAAGCCUCUAGAUAGAAAAUAGGUGCCCGUACCGCAAACCGACACAGGUAGUCAAGAUGAGAAUUCUAAGGUGAGCGAGCGAACUCUCGUUAAGGAACUCGGCAAAAUGACCCCGUAACUUCGGGAGAAGGGGUGCUCUUUAGGGUUAACGCCCAGAAGAGCCGCAGUGAAUAGGCCCAAGCGACUGUUUAUCAAAAACACAGGUCUCUGCUAAACCGUAAGGUGAUGUAUAGGGGCUGACGCCUGCCCGGUGCUGGAAGGUUAAGAGGAGUGGUUAGCUUCUGCGAAGCUACGAAUCGAAGCCCCAGUAAACGGCGGCCGUAACUAUAACGGUCCUAAGGUAGCGAAAUUCCUUGUCGGGUAAGUUCCGACCCGCACGAAAGGCGUAACGAUUUGGGCACUGUCUCAACGAGAGACUCGGUGAAAUCAUAGUACCUGUGAAGAUGCAGGUUACCCGCGACAGGACGGAAAGACCCCGUGGAGCUUUACUGUAGCCUGAUAUUGAAAUUCGGCACAGCUUGUACAGGAUAGGUAGGAGCCUUUGAAACGUGAGCGCUAGCUUACGUGGAGGCGCUGGUGGG